rnacentral:rRNA from 1 species
AGUGGGGAAUUUUGGACAAUGGGCGCAAGCCUGAUCCAGCCAUGCCGCGUGCAGGAUGAAGGCCUUCGGGUUGUAAACUGCUUUUGUACGGAACGAAAAAGUUCUCUCUAAUACAGGGGGCGAAUGACGGUACCGUAAGAAUAAGCACCGGCUAACUACGUGCCAGCAGCCGCGGUAAUACGUAGGGUGCGAGCGUUAAUCGGAAUUACUGGGCGUAAAGCGUGCGCAGGCGGUUAUAUAAGACAGAUGUGAAAUCCCCGGGCUCAACCUGGGAACUGCAUUAGUGACUGUAUAGCUAGAGUGCGGCAGAGGGGGAUGGAAUUCCGCGUGUAGCAGUGAAAUGCGUAGAUAUGCGGAGGAACACCGAUGGCGAAGGCAAUCCCCUGGGCCUGCACUGACGCUCAUGCACGAAAGCGUGGGGAGCAAACAGGAUUAGAUACCCUGGUAGUCCACGCCCUAAACGAUGUCAACUGGUUGUUGGGCCUUCACUGGCUCAGUAACGAAGCUAACGCGUGAAGUUGACCGCCUGGGGAGUACGGCCGCAAGGUUA